rnacentral:rRNA from 1 species
ACCCUGGGAAACUGGGGAUAAUACUGGAUAGGCAAUUAUUCCUGUAAUGGUUUUUUGUUUAAAUGUUUUUUCGCCUAAGGAUGAGUCUGCGGCCGAUUAGGUAGUUGGUUAGGUAAUGGCUUACCAAGCCGUUGAUCGGUACGGGUUGUGAGAGCAAGAGCCCGGAGAUGGAACCUGAGACAAGGUUCCAGGCCCUACGGGGUGCAGCAGGCGCGAAACCUCCGCAAUGUGAGAAAUCGCGACGGGGGGAUCCCAAGUGCCAUUCUUAACGGGAUGGCUUUUCAUUAGUGUAAAGAGCUUUUGGAAUAAGAGCUGGGCAAGACCGGUGCCAGCCGCCGCGGUAACACCGGCAGCUCUAGUGGUAACAAUUUUUAUUGGGCCUAAAGCGUCCGUAGCCGGUUUAAUAAGUCUCUGGUGAAAUCCUGCAGCUUAACUGUGGGAAUUGCUGGAGAUACUAUUAGACUUGAGACCGGGAGAGGUUAGAGGUACUCCCAGGGUAGAGGUGAAAUUCUGUAAUCCUGGGAGGACCGCCUGUUGCGAAGGCGUCUAACUGGAACGGUUCUGACGGUGAGGGACGAAAGUUAGGGGCGCGAACCGGAUUAGAUACCCGGGUAGUCCUAACUGUAAACGAUGCGGACUUGGUGUUGGGGUGGCUUUGAGCUGCUUCAGUGCCGAAGGGAAGCUGUUAAGUCCGCCGCCUGGGAAGUACGGUCGCAAGACUGAAACUUAA